AGCGAACGUUAGCGGCGGGCUUAACACAUGCAAGUCGAGCGAGAAAGGGGCUUCGGCCCUGAGUACAGUGGCGCACGGGUGCGUAACACGUAGGUAAUCAACCCUCGGGUUCGGGAUAACACUUCGAAAGGGGUGCUAAUACCGGAUGCGACGAGCGUCUCCUCGGAGAUGCACGGGAAAGAUCCGCAAGGGUCGCCCGAGGACGAGCCUGCGGCCCAUCAGCUUGUUGGUGAGGUAAUGGCUCACCAAGGCUAAGACGGGUAGCUGGUCUGAGAGGAUGAUCAGUCACACUGGAACUGAGACACGGUCCAGACUCCUACGGGAGGCAGCAGUGGGGAAUAUUGCGCAAUGGGCGAAAGCCUGACGCAGCCACGCCGCGUGAGCGAUGAAGGCCUU
rnacentral:rRNA from 1 species